ACGUAAGUUACGUACUAACUACCGCUAUUAUUCUGGUGAGCGAAGGAAAGGAGGGGGAUCGCAAGACCUUCUUGUCUUUAGGAGCGGCCGAUGUCGGAUUAGCUAGUUGGUGAGGUAAAGGCUCACCAAGGCGACGAUCCGUAGCGGGUCUGAGAGGAUGAUCCGCCACACUGGGACUGAGACACGGCCCAGACUCCUACGGGAGGCAGCAGUGGGGAAUUUUGGACAAUGGGCGCAAGCCUGAUCCAGCCAUGCCGCGUGAGUGAAGAAGGCCUUCGGGUUGUAAAGCUCUUUCGGUGGGGAAGAAAUUGCUUCGGUUAAUACCUGGAGUAGAUGACGGUACCCGCAUAAGAAGCACCGGCUAACUACGUG
rnacentral:rRNA from 1 species